rnacentral:rRNA from 1 species
GACGAACGCUGGCGGCGUGCUUAACACAUGCAAGUCGAACGGAAAGGCCCUGCUUGCAGGGUGCUCGAGUGGCGAACGGGUGAGUAACACGUGGGUGAUCUGCCCCUUACUUUGGGAUAAGCCUGGGAAACUGGGUCUAAUACUGGAUAGGACCAUGCUGUAGGUGGUGUGGUGGAAAGAUUUUUUCGGUAAGGGAUGAGCUCGCGGCCUAUCAGCUUGUUGGUGGGGUAAUGGCCUACCCAGGCGUCGACGGGUAGCCGGCCUGAGAGGGUGGACGGCCACAUUGGGACUGAGAUACGGCCCAGACUCCUACGGGAGGCAGCAGUGGGGAAUAUUGCACAAUGGGCGCAAGCCUGAUGCAGCGACGCCGCGUGGGGGAUGACGGCCUUCGGGUUGUAAACUCCUUUCAGCCAUGACGAAGCCUCUUUUGGGGUGACGGUAGUGGUAGAAGAAGCACCGGCUAACUACGUGCCAGCAGCCGCGGUAAUACGUAGGGUGCGAGCGUUGUCCGGAAUUACUGGGCGUAAAGAGCUCGUAGGUGGUCUGUCGCGUCAUUUGUGAAAGCCCGGUGCUUAACUCCGGGUUGGCAGGUGAUACGGGCAUGACUGGAGUACUGUAGGGGAGACUGGAAUUCCUGGUGUAGCGGUGAAAUGCGCAGAUAUCAGGAGGAACACCGGUGGCGAAGGCGGGUCUCUGGGCAGUAACUGACGCUGAGGAGCGAAAGCAUGGGUAGCGAACAGG